rnacentral:snRNA from 1 species
AUACGUACCUGGCAGGGGAGAUACCAUGAUCAUAAAGGUGGUUUUCUCAGGGCAGGGCUCAUUGAUUGCAUUCUGGAUGCGCUGACCUCUGCAAUUUCUCCAAGCUGUAUAAUUUGUUGUAGUGCAGGACUGAG